AACAUCUUACAUGCUAAUAUUUGUAUUUAUAUAUUAGUUAAAAAGUAUGGUCAAAGUAAGUCAAGUGAAUAGUGCACAUUGCAAAAAUUGGACAUGUAUUUUGAAAUGGAUGGAGUAUAACUUAAUUAUAUUUUGUUUAUUUCUCUUUUAGCAUUGCAUGGAAGACAAGGGAAAACCUCGUACUUUCCCAAACAUAUCUCACCUUAAUUUAAGCCAUGUUAUAACCUGUAAAACCUUAAAGUGUAUACAUAGUAUAAUCUUGAAUGUAUGUUUAGAAUUGUUUCAAGGCUAUGGCAAGAUGCAUUUACAUGAAGACUAGAGUGGACAAAUAUCGUGACCAGCCCCACUGAUUUUAGAAGGUACAUACAUGUAUCUUGGAAAAGAGUAUGCUUGAAAGCAUUAACUAUCAUAUCUAAGAGUGUCCCGCUUGCAUAGAAGUGGUAAGUUAGUCAAGCCUAGAAGUGGAAUAAAUAAUUAUCAAAGCAACCUAUUUGAAAAGGUAUUUUCUCUGAAAAAUAUGCAAAUUUAUAAUUCAAAUUCUUUUUGUUACUUGAGAAUAAACAACAACUUUAGUUUGGGGGUAGUGAUGACAAGUCAUAUUUCGUUAUUUUUAGCAUAUUUUUUAGUCAUUUUAGACAUGUUUUGACUCAAAUAAGAGGAGUUUAAAUCAUUUGUUAAUGGUUUAAGGGACAUUUUGUUAUGUUUUCAUAUCGAGUCAUGUAAUCCUGGUUCUUCCCAAAACCAAGAAAUUCUUAGGUAUUUUUGAUGUAUUUCAUUGAAAAUCAUGUAAUUCGGCAAAGUAAGACACGUCAUGCAGAAUUGGGAAGUCAUGGAAUGAUGUUUCAAGAGGCAUAUGAAGAUAUUACAAGUUGAGGAAAUUCUAUCUCAAUUCCGAAGACAAGUUUGAAGGAAGAAACACUCAAAAAGAUGAAGAAGAAAAAAAAAGGAAAAUACGCAUUGAAAGAAAGUGUUAUGCGUCUCGGGUGUGCUGCCACGCAUCAUGGGUGUGCAAAAUUGUGCUAAAAAGCACUAUUUUAACGCACAUGUGCGAGGCGCAUGCAGUACUGGGAAAUAACAACAUUUUGUUGUUUUUCUCAUACAGGUUGGGGGGAUAAUAGUUUAUCAACCCAUACCCACUUGGAAAUCAAUCUAUAAAUACAAGAGCCUUCAUUCACAAAUUCUCAUUCAGAAUGAAGCGGUUCAAGAGAAAGGCAUGCACUAGGAGGGUCAAGGGAGGAGUCUCUCCUCAACUUUUAUCCUUAGAGUAUGUUUUAUUUCUUUUGUAAUUUUUUUAGUUACUAUGAGUAACUUUACCCUAAUUGGGUAGGAUUCUAAGACAAACCUCUAUUUGUCUUAUGAAUCAAUUUAAUUCAAGUCUUUUAUUCAGUUAUGUUUUGAGAUUUAUUUAAUUUCAUAUGCAAAGAUCUUAAUGCUUUUACGAAUUCUAGGGAGUGUGACAUACCUAGAGGCUCUUAACUGAACAUAGAAACAGGGGGCUGUAGAAGAUAUUUUUGGUCAACUUUUUCAAAUGUUGCAUUACAAACAUUACUUUAACCCCUUGGUAAGAUAGGGUUAUACCUAUCUAUUUAAUCUAUUAAGUAUCAUUCAUGAUAUUUGAUGUACUUCUAAGAUUCAUAGACGUAGGUGGAUCUUUUAAAUGACAAUUUAGGAGUACCAACUUUUGUUUAUGUUUUAAUUAGCUUUGAGAGAGUAAGACCUUACUUUAAUAACCUUACGAAGGCAUACAAACCUUGUAGGAAUGACGACCAUAUACAUUGUAUUUGCAUGUAUAACCUUAUUGUGAUCAAUAUGUGUGCAACUUGAGGGACAUAAAAAUCCCACGAACUCGUCACUUAAAUAGAACUCUUAUCUCAUAUUUAUCUUUAAUCCAACAAGGGAAUAGAGAGAAUUCGAAGAAUCCUAACCACCACCGCAUUCCGUGAUCAAAAUCAUUUACUUGCAUUCUCAUUCAGAAUGAAGCGGUUCAAGAGAAAGGCAUGCACUAGGAGGGUCAAGGGAGGAGUCUCUCCUCAACUUUUAUCCUUAGAGUAUGUUUUAUUUCUUUUGUAAUUUUUUUAGUUACUAUGAGUAACUUUACCCUAAUUGGGUAGGAUUCUAAGACAAACCUCUAUUUGUCUUAUGAAUCAAUUUAAUUCAAGUCUUUUAUUCAGUUAUGUUUUGAGAUUUAUUUAAUUUCAUAUGCAAAGAUCUUAAUGCUUUUACGAAUUCUAGGGAGUGUGACAUACCUAGAGGCUCUUAACUGAACAUAGAAACAGGGGGCUGUAGAAGAUAUUUUUGGUCAACUUUUUCAAAUGUUGCAUUACAAACAUUACUUUAACCCCUUGGUAAGAUAGGGUUAUACCUAUCUAUUUAAUCUAUUAAGUAUCAUUCAUGAUAUUUGAUGUACUUCUAAGAUUCAUAGACGUAGGUGGAUCAUUUAAAUGACAAUUUAGGAGUACCAACUUUGUUUAUGUUUUAAUUAGCUUUGAGAGACUAAGACCUUACUUUAAUAACCUUACGAAGGCAUACAAACCUUGUAGGAAUGACGACCAUAUACAUUGUAUUUGCAUGUAUAACCUUAUUGUGAUCAAUAUGUGUGCAACUUGAGGGACAUAAAAAUCCCACGAACUCGUCACUUAAAUAGAACUCUUAUCUCAUAUUUAUCUUUAAUCCAACAAGGGAAUGGAGAGAAUUCGAAGAAUCCUAACCACCACUGCAUUCCGUAAUCAAAAUCAUUUACUUGCAUUCUCAUUCAGAAUGAAGCGGUUCAAGAGAAAGGCAUGCACUAGGAGGGUCAAGGGAGGAGUCUCUCCUCAACUUUUAUCCUUAGAGUAUGUUUUAUUUCUUUUGUAAUUUUUUUAGUUACUAUGAGUAACUUUACCCUAAUUGGGUAGGAUUCUAAGACAAACCUCUAUUUGUCUUAUGAAUCAAUUUAAUUCAAGUCUUUUAUUCAGUUAUGUUUUGAGAUUUAUUUAAUUUCAUAUGCAAAGAUCUUAAUGCUUUUACGAAUUCUAGGGAGUGUGACAUACCUAGAGGCUCUUAACUGAACAUAGAAACAGGGGGCUGUAGAAGAUAUUUUUGGUCAACUUUUUCAAAUGUUGCAUUACAAACAUUACUUUAACCCCUUGGUAAGAUAGGGUUAUACCUAUCUAUUUAAUCUAUUAAGUAUCAUUCAUGAUAUUUGAUGUACUUCUAAGAUUCAUAGACGUAGGUGGAUCUUUUAAAUGACAAUUUAGGAGUACCAACUUUGUUUAUGUUUUAAUUAGCUUUGAGAGAGUAAGACCUUACUUUAAUAACCUUACGAAGGCAUACAAACCUUGUAGGAAUGACGACCAUAUACAUUGUAUUUGCAUGUAUAACCUUAUUGUGAUCAAUAUGUGUGCAACUUGAGGGACAUAAAAAUCCCACGAACUCGUCACUUAAAUAGAACUCUUAUCUCAUAUUUAUCUUUAAUCCAACAAGGGAAUAGAGAGAAUUCGAAGAAUCCUAACCACCACUGCAUUCCGUAAUCAAAAUCAUUUACUUGCAUUCUCAUUCAGAAUGAAGCGGUUCAAGAGAAAGGCAUGCACUAGGAGGGUCAAGGGAGGAGUCUCUCCUCAACUUUUAUCCUUAGAGUAUGUUUUAUUUCUUUUGUAAUUUUUUUAGUUACUAUGAGUAACUUUACCCUAAUUGGGUAGGAUUCUAAGACAAACCUCUAUUUGUCUUAUGAAUCAAUUUAAUUCAAGUCUUUUAUUCAGUUAUGUUUUGAGAUUUAUUUAAUUUCAUAUGCAAAGAUCUUAAUGCUUUUACGAAUUCUAGGGAGUGUGACAUACCUAGAGGCUCUUAACUGAACAUAGAAACAGGGGGCUGUAGAAGAUAUUUUUGGUCAACUUUUUCAAAUGUUGCAUUACAAACAUUACUUUAACCCCUUGGUAAGAUAGGGUUAUACCUAUCUAUUUAAUCUAUUAAGUAUCAUUCAUGAUAUUUGAUGUACUUCUAAGAUUCAUAGACGUAGGUGGAUCAUUUAAAUGACAAUUUAGGAGUACCAACUUUGUUUAUGUUUUAAUUAGCUUUGAGAGACUAAGACCUUACUUUAAUAACCUUACGAAGGCAUACAAACCUUGUAGGAAUGACGACCAUAUACAUUGUAUUUGCAUGUAUAACCUUAUUGUGAUCAAUAUGUGUGCAACUUGAGGGACAUAAAAAUCCCACGAACUCGUCACUUAAAUAGAACUCUUAUCUCAUAUUUAUCUUUAAUCCAACAAGGGAAUAGAGAGAAUUCGAAGAAUCCUAACCACCACUGCAUUCCGUAAUCAAAAUCAUUUACUUGCAUUCUCAUUCAGAAUGAAGCGGUUCAAGAGAAAGGCAUGCACUAGGAGGGUCAAGGGAGGAGUCUCUCCUCAACUUUUAUCCUUAGAGUAUGUUUUAUUUCUUUUGUAAUUUUUUUAGUUACUAUGAGUAACUUUACCCUAAUUGGGUAGGAUUCUAAGACAAACCUCUAUUUGUCUUAUGAAUCAAUUUAAUUCAAGUCUUUUAUUCAGUUAUGUUUUGAGAUUUAUUUAAUUUCAUAUGCAAAGAUCUUAAUGCUUUUACGAAUUUUAGGGAGUGUGACAUACCUAGAGGCUCUUAACUGAACAUAGAAACAGGGGGCUGAAGAAGAUAUUUUUGGUCAACUUUUUCAAAUGUUGCAUUUACAAACAUUACUUUAACCUCUUGGUAAGAUAGGGUUAUACCUAUCUAUUUAAUCUAUUAAGUAUCAUUCAUGAUAUUUGAUGUACUUCUAAGAUUCAUAGACGUAUGUUAUCAUGGUUUUUGGGUGCCAAGCCAUUAAUUGGACUUGAACCUUUUGACCGUUGAUAUCUCUCUUUUUUCUUGGGAAGGGUAAAAGGAGAAAAACCCUUAAAAAGUUCUAGAUUCGGGGGUCAUUUUCGCUACGGGAAGGUAUUAGGCACCCGGAACGAUUAUGGUAUUCCAUAAGAGCCGUUCUCCUAAGUUGAUUUCUACGCUUUAUUUUUAUUGUCUACUUGUAGAAAAGAAGGUGUGAUUAGUGAAGAAUGGGGGUGAGAAGAAGUAGAAUUUGAUUUUAUUUCGGCUUGGAGGAGUUUUGACUCAUUGCCUACGUACCCUUUUAAGGGAUCAAAACCGUUCGUAGUUCAUUCUCAAAAAAUGGUUUUUGUUUUUGUUGGUUGAUUUUAAGUUUGAAAAGAGAUUUUGAAGAAUAGAGAUGAGAGGCCUCAAGGGCAUGAGAUUUGAAAAAAAAAGUGAGGUGGAAUUAGCUUUUUCAAAAUGAAGUCCAAGUAUAGUUAAGAUUUGUUAGAAAUUUUACUUAAGAAAAUAAAAGGGAAAUAAGGAGUUUUGACUCCUAUUUUAUUUUUUUAAAAAAAGGUUUUUUAAGUGAGGUUAUUUGCAUGUUUUGGAAAGAGUUGGAUUUUCUCUAAGUGUUUAAACCUAAGCAUUCAUCUAACCAUACAAUCCUAGGCAUACAUCUAGGGUGAGUGUGUGCGUGCCGGUGCGUCAUAGUGUCCAUAGUCCAUAUUACAAAAAUUGCCUAAAUACAUUCUAUGGCCCCUUUGCCAAGCUACAAACCAAUGAUAACAAAUUACACCACUAAAUGAAUUAAAACUUGCAAAAAUAAAUGCUAGGCUAAAGAAAGUGGAGGAGGUAGUGAAAUGCUAUGAAAUGUAUGGCACAUGAGAUGAAAUAGUUAGUAAAAUAAAGCAUAGAAUAAAAGGAGUGCACAAAAAAUUAUUAAGAGGAAAGACAUAAAAGAAACUAGUAAAGUGACAAAAUGUGCAUGAGAAUGGUCAUAAGGCUCUAGCAUAGAUAUGACCCAUAAUCCCUUCAUCAUGGCAUUUUUUAGAAGUCUUGUUUUGUGCCAUAAUGUGAAAAAAUGGAACAUAUUUGAUGCUAAAGUUUAUAGCACACUUUCAAAAUAUUGUGGCACUUUAUUUACUAGCAAAAAUGCAUACUAAUUGCAAGCCAAGAGGGGAGAUGAAAUUGAGACAUACAAGCAGCAAAUCAAACAUAUAAUCAGCAACAAAUUUAUCACAAGAUUGCAUUCCAAAAGUUCAAAUCACAUGUCAACAAUUCAUGAGGGAUAUGCUACUAAAAAAUGCACAAGUUUAUGUCUAAACACACUAAUUAACCAAAAAAAAAUAUCACAUGCCCUUUUUUAUCAUUUUAAAACCAUUGAGAAAUACAAAAAAGUCAUGAAAAUACAUCAAGAAACAUGUGAUAAUUUUUGGAGAUUUUUUAGAGAAAAUUUUAAGCAUGCAGGGGUUCAAACAGCAAAGAAAUAUGGUGCAAAUAGCAGGAAAAUAAGCAAAAACGUGAAAGAAACCUAAGCCCAAACCCAAAGCCCAUAUUCAAAACACAGGAAAGCGCAGGGACCGUUGGAUUGAUCCAGGAGAUGGAACCCUAGAUCCAACGGUCUAGAUUGAGGGAAAGUGAACCAGAGCUGGACCGGUCCGGUUCAGCUGGUUAUAAAAGGGUUAGGGGACCGGUCCAGCUCAUUCUUCCUUCUCCUCUCUCUCUCUAACCUAAACCUAGUGAGAGAGGCUCUCACCUCUCUCCUCUCUUCCGGUCAUCUUCUCCGGUGAGCUUCACCGCCCCGGUGUGGUGGUCCGCCGGCCCAACAGGGCGGCGCCGCCGCGCCGGAGAUGAGAAACUCUCCGUUUUCAAAUUUUUUUGCAGAUUAAAACAUCCUUUUUCGUUCUAAGCAAGAAUAUGGCAUUAGAUUUUGCAUGCAAGAUCUGAAUCGUUGUAGAUCUAGAGUUUUGUGUUACGGUUUUGAAAAUCUUUUUAGAUUUGAAACCUUCUUGGCUCAAAUCUUUGUUUAUCUUUCUUGAUCUGUAACGAUUUGCUUGCGUUGAUGCUUUUUUUGUGAGAAAGAAAGGUGAAAGUUGCGUGUUUACCUCUGGUUUAGUUGGAGGUUUCGAACUGGAGAUCUUUGAGACACUUGAAUCUCUGGUACUGCACGUUGAUCUCUUGCUUUAAACCGAAAAUAGAUUGGCGCUGUUCCGUCUUCUUCCUCACCGGUCCAGAUUCUGCUUCUUUUCUUCUUCUUCUCAAACUCUCAAAUCCUUCGUGAUCGGUGCUGGAGUUCGUCAAUGGCGAAUUCUCACUUUGAAUUGCGAAGGAAAUCAAUUCGGUGAUGAAGAUUCGAUGCAGAAUCUCUGAGAAUUGUGAGAAAUCUUGUUGAUUCUGCACUGAUUUGUGAUUCUUUUUGUUGAUUUGUAAUGGUUCUGGUGGAAUUUGGAAACGGUUAGGGUUGAACGUUCUUGGUGUUCUUUGUUGUUUCUGGAAUUUUUUGAGCUUUGAUCUUUGAGAGUAGAAAGAGAAAGUUGGAAAGUGUUUGUUGAGUUGGCGUGUGGUUAUGGCUUUGCGUGGCACUGUACACCUUUUAUAGCUUGACAUGUGUGCUUCUGAACAAAUGAGAAAGUGACACCUGGACCUGAAAAAAAAAUGGCACGGCCUUGGACAAAAAAAAAAUGAAACUUGGACCUUUCUGCAAAAAUAAGAACUUUAAGGACUAAACUGUAAUUAACCAAAAAGGACUGAAAUGUAAAUUGGAAAGAAAAUUGGACUGGAAUGCAAUUUUGGACCUCUUUGGGGACCAAAAUGUAAAAUAAUAAAAAAAAUAAAAUUGGAAUAAAAUUGGUAACCUGACAAAACGUAAAGUGAAACUAAAAUAAAAUUGACAAAACGGACUAAAACGAACCAAUGGCCUAAAUGAGGUACUUCAAAGUAACCUCUCUAUGCCAAAAUUUUGUGUGAAAUGACCAAAAUGCCCCUAGGGCUAAAAAUGACCUAAACAGAAUCAAAUUGACUUGACACUGACUCGGAUGCAAGUUUGAAAUGAAUUUGAUAAGGUUUACUGAUGAAAUGUUAAAAAACAAUCUGAAAAGACUCAGAGACAGUCACAAGGAUGAAAAUGGGUCCCACUGCAGGAAAUGACCAAAAUACCCUUCUGUACGACUUUUUGCAAAUUUUGAAAUAAACUGUAGAAAAAGCAAUGUAAUGAUUCAAAGACACUUUUGAAUGACUUACAAGACAAGUAAAGACAUUUCGAAAAGUUUUAUGCAAGAAAAACAUAGGUAAAAUUGUGAUUGAAAAUACUGCGAGGCAGAGACAAUUUGAACUGUGCAGUUGAAAUUUGAUAAUUGACAAAGUUUGAAAUGAAAUUGGGCCCAGUAUUUUUAGGUCCAAAAACAGGGUAUAACAACGUAGGUGGAUCAUUUAAAUGACAACUUAGGAGUACCAACUUUGUUUAUGUUUUAAUUAGCUUUGAGAGACUAAGACCUUACUUUAAUAACCUUACGAAGGCAUACAAACCUUGUAGGAAUGACGACCAUAUACAUUGUAUUUGCAUGUAUAACCUUAUUGUGAUCAAUAUGUGUGCAACUUGAGGGACAUAAAAAUCCCACGAACUCGUCACUUAAAUAGAACUCUUAUCUCAUAUUUAUCUUUAAUCCAACAAGGGAAUAGAGAGAAUUCGAAGAAUCCUAACCACCACUGCAUUCCGUAAUCAAAAUCAUUUACUUGCAUUCUCAUUCAGAAUGAAGCGGUUCAAGAGAAAGGCAUGCACUAGGAGGGUCAAGGGAGGAGUCUCUCCUCAACUUUUAUCCUUAGAGUAUGUUUUAUUUCUUUUGUAAUUUUUUUAGUUACUAUGAGUAACUUUACCCUAAUUGGGUAGGAUUCUAAGACAAACCUCUAUUUGUCUUAUGAAUCAAUUUAAUUCAAGUCUUUUAUUCAGUUAUGUUUUGAGAUUUAUUUAAUUUCAUAUGCAAAGAUCUUAAUGCUUUUACGAAUUUUAGGGAGUGUGACAUACCUAGAGGCUCUUAACUGAACAUAGAAACAGGGGGCUGUAGAAGAUAUUUUUGGUCAACUUUUUCAAAUGUUGCAUUACAAACAUUACUUUAACCCCUUGGUAAGAUAGGGUUAUACCUAUCUAUUUAAUCUAUUAAGUAUCAUUCAUGAUAUUUGAUGUACUUCUAAGAUUCAUAGACGUAGGUGGAUCAUUUAAAUGACAAUUUAGGAGUACCAACUUUGUUUAUGUUUUAAUUAGCUUUGAGAGACUAAGACCUUACUUUAAUAACCUUACGAAGGCAUACAAACCUUGUAGGAAUGACGACCAUGUACAUUGUAUUUGCAUGUAUAACCUUAUUGUGAUCAAUAUGUGUGCAACUUGAGGGACAUAAAAAUCCCACGAACUCGUCACUUAAAUAGAACUCUUAUCUCAUAUUUAUCUUUAAUCCAACAAGGGAAUAGAGAGAAUUCGAAGAAUCCUAACCACCACUGCAUUCCGUAAUCAAAAUUAUUAAUGAUGGGAUAAAAAAACAUGCUAAAAUAAAAGACAAAAACACAUAGGGGCUAAAAUUAUAUUUACAACAUAAGCGGGAUAUAAGAUUUUAAAAUACAUUUUUUCAAAAAAAAAAAAAAAAGAUUUUAAAAUACAUAAAUAGUAUUUCAAACACAAGUUUGUACCAAAAAAAAAAUGUCAAACACAAGCAAACAUAAAUAUCAAGCAUCCCUAAUAUAUUCCUGUAAAAAAAAAAAAAGAAUCCUCAAUAUAUUAUACCUCAAAUCAAUGCCAUCUUAUUCAAUAUACAUAUCUCAUUGCAUGAAAUCAUUGUUAACAAUAUAGAUUCUAGAGGAAAAGAGAAAAUAACACAAUAAAGACGGUUAGUUUUUUUUUUUUUAGAAUGACAAUGGCUUUACAUAUGAAAUAAUAAAAAAGGGUUAGACUAAACUUAAGUUUAAAAGACCCAAUAAUACACAACAACGGGAACAUCGAGAGUUUUUCAAACAAAAAACGAAAAACAUAUCAUGGUAUAAACUCAAACAAAAAAACGAAAAACAUAUCAUGGUAUAAACUCAAAACACUGCCCCUCAAACUAAAAAUUACGAAGUUUUAAGCUUGUUAGAAAUCUAUCCCUAAAAAUAAACCAAAUCAAUUGAUAGCAUAAACAACUUUAUGCUUCCGAGUUGGAAGUGUCAUCAUAGCUUUCAUAGUUGUUUUCUUUGUUAGGCAUACGAGGUUGAUUCCUCUUAUUUUUAUGGGCCUCUACUACUCUUUCUUUGAGUUUUCUUAUUUGUGUCUCCAUCUUGAUUACGCAAUAUGGUGUAGGUCUUCGAAUUUUACACCGCUGAAGUGGUGUGUGACUUAUGUUGUUUUGACGUCGAGAAGGUGUACCAUCUCAUCGUUUCGAGCCUUCAUCAGAGUUACCCUCUUGUGAAGGUGUUUUGUGUAUGGGAGAGUCCCUCAAAACUCUCGUUUCUCCUUCUAGAUGAACUUUGGAGUAUGGAAGCUCGAUUGUGGUUAUUAACAGGUCUUAUGGUUUCUCUGUUGUUGUUAAUUGAAUCAUGGUCAUGAUGUCUAGGAUGAUUUUGAGAAUCUUCGGACAUGCCAAGAGCUUGAACAACAGAGACAUGUAGAUGGCUCCUGGUUCACUGCAUCUCCCCUCCCGGGAUUCAAAUCUAUAAUUUCACACAAAAAUUCUUUCCAAUCAAAUCACUAGUUUGUAACAACAGAGACACACGAUAGUUUUUUUUUUUUUUUUUGUAGUUAAACAAAAUGACAGAGCUAUUAUAAACACACAUAUAUGUGGAGGUGUUGGGGUUCGAAUCUCAGUCAUAAUGUAUUACCUAACAAUUUUAGUAUUUUUACCAUUUGAAACACUGUAGUUUUUUUUAUUGUGAUCAAAUUUGCCUAGAUAGUAUUGAAAACCAAUAAUCUCACAAGUGAGCAAUAGUGAAGUGUUGAUGCCUUGAUUUUUAUUUUAGGCUUAAAUAUGCAAUUAGUCCUUGCACUUUCAUUAGUUUUUUUACAUUGAUCCUUGCAUUUAUUUUAUUUGUUUAGGUCCCUGCACCUUAUAAAUAAUUUGUUAUUGGUCCAUCUAUCAGUUCACCGUUGCAAAAAAAUUAGGUUUAAGGCUAUUGUUUUGGUGGUGAUCUUAACCUUACAUCGACCUUGAGUUUUUAGUGGAUAGACUUGAUGCAGAAAAACUUAGCAGCAACACAUCCAAUCACAUUAUUAUGAAUAAAAAAUAUUUUUUUUUUUGAAACGGCAGUGAUCAUUAGAUAUUUAUGCAAAUAAAGUAUUCGAAAUUCAUAUUCUGGUCAAAAUGUCCGACCUAUCUAUUUCAACAUUUUAGUUAGUUGAGCUUGUGAGUUUGUGAACCUGUGAAUACAGUGUUAUGAAUAGUUUUCUAAUCAUUUCCCUUUUAUUUGGCAGGUGCAUGGGAAGUAAGCAUAUUGUUUUACGAAAAUUCCUACACUAAAUGCAAUUAAUGAAUUAAGUUACAAAUGUAUACUAAUCCACGUUUUAAUCAUUAUAUAAUCCAAUAUUUUCUUGAAAAUGUAAUAGAAUAUUUUCUGACAUCACAUGAGC
rnacentral:lncRNA from 1 species